UUCUCCUCCGGGGGGCAGCAGUGAGGAAUAUUGGUCAAUGGUCGGGAGACUGCACCAGCCACGCCGCGUGAGGGAUGAAGGUACAGAGUAUCGUAAACCUCUUUUGUCAGGGAACAAAGGCGGGGACGCGUCCCCGGAUGAGUGUACCUGAAGAAAAAGCAUCGGCUAACUCCGUGCCAGCAGCCGCGGUAAUACGGAGGAUGCGAGCGUUAUCCGGAUUUAUUGGGUUUAAAGGGUGCGCAGGCGGUCUGUUAAGUCAGCGGUCAAAGCCCGGGGCGCAAGCCCGGCCCGCCGUUGAAACUGGG
rnacentral:rRNA from 1 species